AGAGUUUGAUCAUGGCUCAGGAUGAACGCUGGCGGCGUGCUUAACACAUGCAAGUCGAACGAAGAUGCCGGAGUGCUUGCACUUUGGCAGACUGAGUGGCGGACGGGUGAGUAACGCGUGGGUAACCUGCCUUAUACAGGGGGAUAACAGUUGGAAACGACUGCUAAUACCGCAUAAGCGCACGGUAUCGCAUGAUACAGUGUGAAAAACUCCGGUGGUAUAAGAUGGACCCGCGUCUGAUUAGCUUGUUGGUGAGGUAACGGCCACCAAGGCGACGAUCAGUACGCCGGCCUGGAGAGGGUGAACGGCCACAGUUGGGACUGAGACACGGCCCAAACUCCUACGGGAGGCA
rnacentral:rRNA from 1 species